CAGUCGCCGCGGGAAUACGGAGGGCGCGAGCGUUACCCGGAUUUACUGGGCGUAAAGGGCGUGUAGGCGGCCUGGGGCGUCCCAUGUGAAAGGCCACGGCUCAACCGUAGAGGAGCGUGGGAUACGCUCAGGCUAGAGGGUGGGAGAGGGUGGUGGAAUUCCCGGAGUAGCGGUGAAAUGCGCAGAUACCGGGAGGAACGCCGAUGGCGAAGGCAGCCACCUGGUCCACUUCUGACGCUGAGGCGCGAAAGCGUGGGGAGCAAACCGGAUUAGAUACCCGCGUAGUCCCUGUCUCUUAUAC
rnacentral:rRNA from 1 species